GUAGUUCAAGAUGCAUUAGACCGAGUAAUGAAGAACCGAACAACAGUUGUGGUGGCUCAUCGUUUAUCCACAAUUAAGAAUGCAGAUGUGAUAGCAGUGGUUAAAAAUGGAGUAAUAGUAGAGAAAGGAAAGCAUGAUACUUUGAUUAAUAUUGAAGAUGGAUGUUAUGCCUCUUUAGUAGCACUUCACACUAGUGCUUCCACUUCAUAAGCUUUACAUAUAAGUCUCUUCUAAUAUUUACAAUUUUGGUGGACAUUUACUGUCUUCUGUUUUCCACUUAGAAGGGAAUGUAUAGCUUAAACUUAUCUUCUGUUUCC